GUCAUGCUGGUAUUCAAACAGUCCAUAGGAAAGCAUUUUUCAAUGCUUUCCUAUGGACGUUCUGCACGCUGGAUGCAAUUUUCGCAUUUACCAACGUCGCAGAAGCACCUCUAGCGGCUGUUAGGAAGAUCUUGGAUUAACCUUAUUUCUCUGAAACUGCUAUGUUUAUAUGUGAAGGGUUAAAACCUGAGGGACCCGACACCCAGAUCACUUCAUUGAGCUGAUGUGGUCUGGGUGACUAUAGUGUUCCUUUAAACAUAGGGGGCAAUAUUGUACUCUUGAAUAAAGAACAAUACAUUGAUAUGUG